GCAUCAUGGAGACCGAGGUGCUCCUGGAGAACCCCAAAGCUGGACGUUCGUCAUCGUGGAGGUCGAGGUUCUUCUGGAGAACCCCCCCGUUGGACGUUCACGGUCGUGGAGGUCAAGGUGCUCCCGGACACCUGGGUCCCUUGGACAUGGGGGUGCCCCCCCCACCCGCCCAGGACAUUGGGGUUCCUGACCCCCCACCCCUCCCCCACCCCCUUUGGCUUCGUUAGGGCCCCCCUCGUUACCGGGGCCCCGCCCUCAUUAAAGCUGCAGACGGUGCCAAGGGCAGAGGGUUUAUUGGGGUGUCCGGGCCGGGGGGGGGACGGGGACAAUGAGGAGGAGGAGGAGAAGGAGAAGGGGGGAGGAAGGCUGAGGGGACCUCUUGGUGCCCAGAAGCCCCAUUUGGCCCAUUUCUUGCCCCAAAUCCAUCUUCAUCAUCUUCUUCUUCCUCAGGGCCUCCACCUUCACCACCGUCCUUCUCCUGGUCUUCAGCCUCCUCGGGGUCUCCAUCUUUCUCACCCUCUUCUUCCUCGAGGUCACCUCAGUGCCACCUCCUUCCUCUUCCCCAGGGUCUCCAUCCUCCUCCUCACCAUCACCUUCCUCCUUCUCGUCUCCAUCUUCGUCACCAUCUUCCUCCUCAGGGUCUCCAUCUUCACCUUCCUCCUCAUGGUCUCCAUCUCCCUCCUCACCGUCACCUUCCUCCUCCUCAGGUUCUCCAUCUUCCUCCUUGGGGCCUCCAUCCUCCUUCUCCUCCUCCCCAGGCUCUUCCUCCUGGGGGUGUCCCUCCUCCUCCUCCUCGCCGUGGGGCUGGCCCCACUGCUCGGUGGGGUGACAGCAGGGACAGUCAGAGCGGUGGGAGGGCUCGGCGUCGCGCUGGGGGUUGUAGAAGUCUGUAGGGGGGGGUGACACAGACGCGUGACCCCCAUGGGGUGUCACCUCUGGGGUGUCCCAUGGGGUGGUGGCCCCACAGGAGGUUCUGGAGGACUCCCCCCUCCCAUGGGGUGUCACCUAUAGUGUUCCCCAUGGGGUGGUGGCCCCACAGGAGGUUCUGGAGGACUCCCUCCUCCCAUGGGGUGUCACCCCUAGAGUAUCCCACGGGGUUGCCCAUGGGGUGGAGACCCCGUAGCACGUUCUGGAUGACCCCCCAGUGCUAUGGGGUGUCACCUAGAGGGUUCCCCAUGGGGUGGUGGCCCCACAGGAGGUUCUGGAGGACUCCCCCCUCCUAUGGGGUGUCACCUCUAGAGUAUCCCACGGGGUUGCCCAUGGGAUGGAGACCCCAUAGCAUGUUCUGGAUGACCCCCAGUGCUAUGGGGUGUCACCUAGAGGGUUCCCCAUGGGGUGGUGGCCCCACAGGAGGUUCUGGAGGACUCCCUCCUCCCGUGGGGCGUCACCUCUAGAGUAUCCCACGGGGUUCCCCAUGGUGUGGAGACCCCAUAACACGUUCUGGGUGCCCCCCCCCCCCGCUAUGGGUCGCGCCGUGGGGCGGUGGCUUCCCGAGGACUCACCCAUGCUCCCCGGCCUCUCCAUCCUCUCCCUCCUCUCCAGCUCCUCCAGCUCCUCCAGCAGCUCCAGCAGGGCCCGGCAGGUCUCCUCCCCCCGGGCCAGGGCCAGGGCCAGCAGCCGCCGGGGCCACCCCCGGCCCCCCGGGGGUCCCAGCGCCGCCUCCUCCGUGGGGCCCAGCGCCCCCCGCUCCCGCAGCCCCCCCAGCAGCGCCCCCCCCGGCACCCCCCGCAGCCGCCGCUCCAGCGCCCGGCCCCCCCCCCGCACCCGC
rnacentral:lncRNA from 1 species